UACAGAGGUCUCAAGCGUUGUUCGGAUUCAUUGGGCGUAAAGGGCUCGUAGGUGGCCAACUAAGUCGGACGUGAAAUCCCUCGGCUUAACCGGGGAACUGCGUCUGAUACUGGAUGGCUUGAGUUCGGGAGAGGGAUGGCGGAAUUCCAGGUGUAGCGGUGAAAUGCGUAGAUAUCUGGAGGAACACCGGUGGCGAAGGCGGCAUCCUGGACCGACACUGACGCUGAGGAGCGAAAGCCAGGGGAGCAAACGGG
rnacentral:rRNA from 1 species